GUUGUAUGGUUAAGUGACUAAGCGUACACGGUGGAUGCCUUGGCAGUCAGAGGCGAUGAAAGACGUAGUAACUUGCGAUAAGCCCAGAUUAGGUAGUAACAACCAUUUGAGUCUGGGAUUUCUGAAUGGGGAAACCCACGUGCAUAAGCACGUAUCCUUACCUGAAUACAUAGGGUAAGGAGGCGAACCGGGGAACUGAAACAUCUAAGUACCCCGAGGAAAAGAAAUCAACCGAGAUUCCGAAAGUAGCGGCGAGCGAAAUUGGACUAGCCCUUAAGCUUUACACGCGUUAGACGAACGGUCUGGAAAGUCCGACGAUACAGGGUGAUAGUCCCGUAGUUGACGACGUGUGUUCAGUGAAAUCGAGUAGGGCGGGACACGUGAUAUCCUGUCUGAAUAUGGGGGGACCAUCCUCCAAGGCUAAAUACUACUGACUGACCGAUAGUGAACCAGUACCGUGAGGGAAAGGCGAAAAGAACCCCUGUGAGGGGAGUGAAAUAGAACCUGAAACCGUGUACGUACAAGCAGUAGGAGCAGGCUUUGUCCUGUGACUGCGUACCUUUUGUAUAAUGGGUCAGCGACUUAUAUUCAGUGGCAAGGUUAACCAUCUAGGGGAGCCGUAGGGAAACCGAGUCUUAACUGGGCGUUCAGUCUCUGGAUAUAGACCCGAAACCAGGUGAUCUAGCCAUGGGCAGGUUGAAGGUUGAGUAACAUCAACUGGAGGACCGAACCGACUAAUGUUGAAAAAUUAGCGGAUGACUUGUGGCUAGGGGUGAAAGGCCAAUCAAACCUGGAGAUAGCUGGUUCUCCCCGAAAGCUAUUUAGGUAGCGCCUCGGACGAAUACUACUGGGGGUAGAGCACUGUUAAGGCUAGGGGGUCAUCCCGACUUACCAACCCUUUGCAAACUCCGAAUACCAGUAAGUACUAUCCGGGAGACACACGGCGGGUGCUAACGUCCGUCGUGGAGAGGGAAACAACCCAGACCGCCAGCUAAGGUCCCAAAUUACUACUAAGUGGGAAACGAUGUGGGAAGGCUCAGACAGCCAGGAUGUUGGCUUAGAAGCAGCCAUCAUUUAAAGAAAGCGUAAUAGCUCACUGGUCGAGUCGGCCUGCGCGGAAGAUGUAACGGGGCUAAGUAGUAAACCGAAGCUGCGGCAAUAUACUUUUGUAUAUUGGGUAGGGGAGCGUUCUGUAAGCGGUUGAAGGUGUGUGGUAACGCAUGCUGGACGUAUCAGAAGUGCGAAUGCUGACAUGAGUAACGAUAAAGGGGGUGAAAAACCUCCUCGCCGGAAGACCAAGGGUUCCUGUCCAACGUUAAUCGGGGCAGGGUAAGUCGACCCCUAAGGCGAGGCCGAAAGGCGUAGUCGAUGGGAAACGGGUUAAUAUUCCCGUACUUCUUACAAUUGCGAUGGGGGGACGGAGAAGGCUAGGUGGGCCUGGCGACGGUUGUCCAGGUUCAAGUGCGUAGGCUUAAGAGUUAGGUAAAUCCGGCUCUUUUUAAGGCUGAGACACGACGUCGAGCACCUACGGGUGUGAAGUCAUUGAUGCCAUGCUUCCAGGAAAAGCCUCUAAGCUUCAGAUUGUAAGGAAUCGUACCCCAAACCGACACAGGUGGUCGGGUAGAGAAUACCAAGGCGCUUGAGAGAACUCGGGUGAAGGAACUAGGCAAAAUGGUACCGUAACUUCGGGAGAAGGUACGCUCUCGACGGUGAAGUCCCUUGCGGAUGGAGCUAUUGAGAGUCGCAGAUACCAGGUGGCUGCAACUGUUUAUUAAAAACACAGCACUGUGCAAAAUCGUAAGAUGACGUAUACGGUGUGACGCCUGCCCGGUGCCGGAAGGUUAAUUGAUGGGGUUAGACUUCGGUCGAAGCUCUUGAUCGAAGCCCCGGUAAACGGCGGCCGUAACUAUAACGGUCCUAAGGUAGCGAAAUUCCUUGUCGGGUAAGUUCCGACCUGCACGAAUGGCGUAAUGAUGGCCACGCUGUCUCCACCCGAGACUCAGUGAAAUUGAAAUCGCUGUGAAGAUGCAGUGUACCCGCGGCUAGACGGAAAGACCCCGUGAACCUUUACUACAGCUUGGCACUGAACAUUGACCCUACAUGUGUAGGAUAGGUGGGAGGCUUUGAAGCACGUACGCCAGUAUGUGUGGAGCCGUCCUUGAAAUACCACCCUUGUAGUGUUGAUGUUCUAACGUCGACCCCUUAUCGGGGUUGCGGACAGUGCCUGGUGGGUAGUUUGACUGGGGCGGUCUCCUCCCAAAGAGUAACGGAGGAGCACGAAGGUGGGCUAAUCACGGUUGGACAUCGUGAGGUUAGUGCAAUGGCAUAAGCCCGCUUGACUGCGAGAAUGACAAUUCGAGCAGGUGCGAAAGCAGGUCAUAGUGAUCCGGUGGUUCUGAAUGGAAGGGCCAUCGCUCAACGGAUAAAAGGUACUCCGGGGAUAACAGGCUGAUACCGCCCAAGAGUUCAUAUCGACGGCGGUGUUUGGCACCUCGAUGUCGGCUCAUCACAUCCUGGGGCUGAAGUCGGUCCCAAGGGUAUGGCUGUUCGCCAUUUAAAGUGGUACGCGAGCUGGGUUUAGAACGUCGUGAGACAGUUCGGUCCCUAUCUGCCGUGGGCGUUGGAAGAUUGAAGGGGGCUGCUCCUAGUACGAGAGGACCGGAGUGGACGAACCUCUGGUGUUCGGGUUGUGUCGCCAGACGCAUUGCCCGGUAGCUAAGUUCGGAAUCGAUAACCGCUGAAAGCAUCUAAGCGGGAAGCGAGCCCUGAGAUGAGUCUUCCCUGAUACUUUAAGUAUCCUAAAGGGUUGUCGGAGACUACGACGUUGAUAGGUCAGGUGUGUAAGUGCUGUGAGGCAUUGAGCUAACUGAUACUAAUUGCCCGUGAGGCUUAACCAUACAACACCCAAGGGGUUU
rnacentral:rRNA from 1 species